AUGGAAAAUGGUUUCAAAUAUGCUCAAGAGAUGGCUUGGGACAGAGGAUUCAUGUUCACAGUUGCUCAGACUCAUUUCUCCCUGUUCCCUCUGGUCCUUAAGCUCUUCCAAGGCCUUGGGCUCGCUGGUGGCCACAGGAACACAUCACCUCCAGAUGAUAAAGCACAGUCUGAAAACCAAAUACAUACAGGGGAAACCAAUGUGCAGCUAACCAAGGAAGGCUUCCCAGGGAAGAUGCUGAGAGACGGUGCCCCCGGUCCAACUUUUCCAACUGGACAUUUUAAAGUAAGGGAGUAUUUUGUUGUUUGGUUGGUGCCUGCCUUAACAGAGCAGAUAGGGCAUUGUUAAUGUGAAGCAUUGAUAUAAUAGUAGCCCGAUGCUGGCAUUUGAUAUAAAGUCAUGUUUGCCCGUGGUCUCCUUCCCCCAAUUUUUCUUUCUCUUUAAAGGAUAACAAGGGGGCAGGCUUUCCAAGUAACCCAAGGAACACUGACAAAGCACUUCUGGGAUUAAAAAAAGAAGCUGAGCACAAGCACCUGAUAUGGUCAUAAUACAAACCUGCAAUCCCAGAACUUGGGAACUGAGACAGAAGGAGCACAACUUCAAGGCUAGUUUGGAAACUAUAAAGAGACCCUGUUUCAAAAACAUACAAACAGAAACAAAAAGCUCUGAACACGAUUUCAGAUGAAGAUGAAGAAGGCAGAGGAGGAGGAGGAGGAGGAGGAAGAAGAGGAAGAGAAGGAGGAGGAGGACGAGGACGAGGAGGAGGAGAAGGAGGAGCAGCAGAAGCAGCAGCAGCCAGGCAUGGUGGCAUACAGCAGUAAUCCCAGCACUCUGGGAGGUUAAGGAAGGAGGAACCCAGCCCAAGCCAUUUAGUGACUUAGCAAGACCCUGUCUCAAUAACAAUAAUUAAUAAAUGAUAAUAAUGAUAAUGAUUAUGAUGAUGACAACAUAGUUUAGUAUGACUAUCCUAGGUUCAAUCACCAGCAUCAAUCAAUCAACCAAUCAAUCAAUGAAGCAGCAAGACAUUACAGGAUGCACUAGAAAAUUAGAAUCCCUGCUCAUGAGCAAAUGAAUUGUCAUUAGGUAACGAGGAAAUAUACUCAUGCUCUCUGGCAAACAUAAGCAAGAGCUAGUAAGAAAUGGAGGAGUGGUGCCAAUGUGGGAAUUACUAUGGGAUUCAGUGUAAGCUGGGGAGAAACUGUGAGCCAUUUGGGCAGGAGGACAGGAAAAGUAUGUAGGUAUGUGCUACUGUGAGGGGCAGGUAGGGAUGAGGACUGAGACACUGCUUUUGGGGUGAGGGAGGAAGUUUGUGGCUGUGGGAGGCAGAAGGCAGAUUGCAUGAUAGGGAGUGGGCUCCUUGCCGCAGCCAGGUGAACCCCACUGCCACUAGGCCAUCCCUCAGAAGAACGCUGAGCUCGAAGUAUCUCACUAAUCCUUCAAAGUCCCUCAGAAAUGCCCAGUGCACAACAGAACUCCUUUUCUAUACUGAGAGUCCGCUACACCUCCAGCGCAGAGCAAUCCUACCAAGGGAACCUAACAUGGGGGUGGUCUCAACACAUGCAACCCUCAAGGCAGAGGACAGGGGAGGGGUGUUGGCAGCCCAGGUACUCCCUCAUCAGUCGCACAGCAGGGAGAGGCACUGGCACAAAUUUCCAUGGAAAUCCAGAAGACUCCAGAGCUGGGGAGCACACAGUAACUAGGAUUUCCCUUUGACGACCUGCCCACCACACAGACCUCUCCAAAUGGGAGGGGCACACCUUGGAGCCAAAACACGCACAGAUGGCAAGAAAGCUAGAGAGAGGCGGGGGGAAGGUCUUCGCUCCCAUGCCCCACUCGCCCUUAAUUCUCAUAAGUCCAGGGUAGAGAAUAAGACAGACUCCUGCUGCGUGGGGAUACGCCUACAUUUAUAGAAGCUCCCUUGUCACCAGUGAAAUGUGACCUUCAUACUUUCCUUAUCUUAAUAUCUGGGUAAACACUUGUUGUGCAAGCACACAAAUAAAGGUUCUAAAGGUGAAAUGUGGUAGGUAUGUCUGGUAACACCCAUGCUGCUCCAAACCCAGGACCAAAAAGCUCUUUUGGCUCUGCAUACACCUUCUCUCUCCCUUUACUCUGGGCACCAAAAUUAGCUCCAUCGACCUCAGCCAGUGCUGGAGUGAACACUGCCAUUCUAAAAUAGCACCUGAGAACUCUAGGACACACAGGAGAGAAAUGCAAGAAACUUACUGGGAAAGCAAAUUCACCAGACUCCAUUUUCAACUAAAUAUACAAGAAAUGAGAAUUAUUGGGAUUUAUUUUGGAAUUUUAUAAAGUGAAUAUGCUUUUUGCUCUUUGAAUUCCCACAUAGCAUAUUUAAAAUGUCUCACUAUUCUAUUAAGCAUGCAUAUUUUCACGUAGAAAAAUCUUAUGGAGAUCCUAUGUUCCUCCA
rnacentral:lncRNA from 1 species